rnacentral:rRNA from 1 species
GACGAACGCUGGCGGCGUGCCUAAUACAUGCAAGUCGAACGCUAAAGGAGGAGCUGCUUUCUCUGAAGGGUUGCGAAAGGGGGAAGUAAGCGGUAGGUAACCGCCCUGUUAGCGGGGGAUAACAAUUGGAAACGAAACUUAAUCCCGCAUAGGAUAAGAUGUCCCAGAAAAUUGGCUUAAAAGUUGCACUUUCUUCAUUACAAGAUGGCCCUGCGUGGUAUUAUCUAGUUGGGGAGGUAACGGCUCACCAAGGCAACGAUACAUAGCCGACCUGAGAGGGGGAUCGGCCACACUGGGACUGAGACACGGCCCAGACUCCUACGGGAGGCAGCAGUAGGGAAUCUUCGGCAAUGGACGGAAGUCUGACCGAGCAACGCCGCGGGAGUGAAGAAGGUUUUCGGAUCGUAAAGCUCUGUUGUAAGAGAAGAACGAGUGUGAGAGUGGAAAGUUCACACUGUGACGGUAUCUUACCAGAAAGGGACGGCUAACUACGUG